UACGUAGGGGGCAAGCGUUGUCCGGAUUUACUGGGCGUAAAGCGUGCGUAGGUGGUUCGUUAAGUCUGAUGUGAAAGCCCUGGGCUCAACCUGGGAACUGCAUUGGAUACUGGCGAUCUGGAGUGCGGUAGAGGGUGGCGGAAUUCCCGGUGUAGCAGUGAAAUGCGUAGAUAUCGGGAGGAACAUCCGUGGCGAAGGCGGCCACCUGGACCAGCACUGACACUGAGGCACGAAAGCGUGGGGAGCAAACAGG
rnacentral:rRNA from 1 species